GACGAACGCUGGCGGCGUGCUUAACACAUGCAAGUCGAGCGGUAAGGCCCUUUCGGGGGUACACGAGCGGCGAACGGGUGAGUAACACGUGGGUGACCUGCCUCUAGCUCUGGGAUAAGCCCGGGAAACUGGGUCUAAUACUGGAUAUGACUCCAUGACGCAUGUUGUGGGGUGGAAAGCCUUGUGCGGCUGAGGAUGGGCCCGCGGCCUAUCAGCUUGUUGGUGGGGGGAU
rnacentral:rRNA from 1 species